UACGUAGGGAGCGAGCGUUGUCCGGAAUCAUUGGGCGUAAAGAGCGUGUAGGCGGCCCGGAAAGUCUGGUGUGAAAUCUUGAGGCUCAACCUCAAUCUGUCACUGGAAACUAUCGGGCUUGAGUUCGGAAGAGGAGAGUGGAAUUCCUGGUGUAGCGGUGAAAUGCGCAGAUAUCAGGAAGAACACCCGUGGCGAAGGCGGCUCUCUGGGACGGUACUGACGCUGAGACGCGAAAGCGUGGGGAGCGAACAGG
rnacentral:rRNA from 1 species